UCUCUCUAUCACUCUCUCUCUCUCCCUCACUGUCUCUCUAUCACUCUUUCCCUCUCUCUCUCCCUCACUGUCUCUCUCUAUCACUCUCUCUCUCUCCCUCACUGUCUCUCUAUCACUCUUUCCCUCUCUCUCUCCCUUACUGUCUCUCUCUAUCACUCUCUAUCACUCUCUCUCUCUCCCUCACUGUCUCUCUAUCACUCUUUCCCUCUCUCUCUCCCUCACUGUCUCUCUAUCACUCUCUCUCUAUCCCUCACUGUCUCUCUAUCACUCUUUCCCUCUCUCUCUCCCUCACUGUCUCUCUAUCACUCUCUCUCUAUCCCUCACUGUCUCUCUAUCACUCUUUCUCUCUCUCUCUCCCUCACUGUCUCUCUAUCACUCUCUCUCUAUCCCUCACUGUCUCUCUAUCACUCUUUCCCUCUCUCUCUCUCUCUCCCUCCCUCUCUCUCUCUAUCUCUUUCUCUCUCUCUCUCUCUAUCACUCUCUCUCUCUCCCUCACUGUCUCUCUAUCACUCUUUACCUCUCUCUCUCUCCCUCACUGUCUCUCUAUCACUCUUUCCCUCUCUCUCUCCCUCACUGUCUCUCUAUCACUCUUUCCCUCUCUCUCUCCCUCACUGUCUCUCUAUCACUCUUUCCCUCUCUCUCUCCCUCACUGUCUCUCUAUCACUCUUUCCCUCUCUCUCUCUCCCUCACUGUCUCUCUAUCACUCUUUCCCUCUCUCUCUCCCUCACUGUCUCUCUAUCACUCUUUCCCUCUCUCUCUCCCUCACUGUCUCUCUAUCACUCUUUCCCUCUCUCUCUCCCUCACUGUCUCUCUAUCACUCUUUCCCUCUCUCUCUCUCCCUCACUGUCUCUCUAUCACUCUUUCCCUCUCUCUCUCCCUCACUGUCUCUCUAUCACUCUUUCCCUCUCUCUCUCUCCCUCACUGUCUCUCUAUCACUCUUUCCCUCUCUCUCCCUCACUGUCUCUCUCUAUCACUCUCUCUCUCUCCCUCACUGUCUCUCUAUCACUCUUUCCCUCUCUCUCUCCCUCACUGUCUCUCUAUCACUCUUUCCCUCUCUCU
rnacentral:lncRNA from 1 species